UCCCGCCUUGGCCUCCUAAAGUGCUGGGAUCACAGGCAUGAGCCACUGUGCCUGGCCUGAUUUAAUUCUUCUUCUUCACCUGAUCCAGUUUUCUCCAUGAAGACUUGAGACCAAGUCACAGUAGGUUUGGACCCAAAUGUAUGCUGCUCCUCUCUCCCCAUGUUCUUUGCUUCUGUUCUUAGCCUGGGGUAAAGUCCUCCUUGUCCUGGGCCAGACAUACUGUCAAGAGAAAGCUUGGUAUUGGACUGACUCCAUUUAAAGAACCUUAUUUUAUGAAUCUGUCCCAGGAAAAUAUAGUAACUCGUUAACAGUUUUGAAUGAUUUGUUCUUUGCUUUUUGGCAAAUUUCAGUUUAUCCUUGCUAGAGGGAAAACAAUAAAAUCCACAAGUAAUUCCCAAUUUUCAACCUAGCCCAGCAAUUUAACCUCCUCACUCACUUUGCCAAGGCUACUAAUAAGUAGCUGUGUGCCUGGCCUGCUUUCCUUCUCUCCUCUCCCUGGUCCUGCCCAUUGGCAGGGAGCCUCUUGUGAGUCAUAAGAUGACCAAGAGAUCACACGGCGAGAGACUGAAAGAAAAGCAGCAAAGCCCUGGGUAAUCAAGGCCCUAAACGGAAAGUGUCAGGAUCUUGGGGAUCGUAUUGUAUAAAAUGGAUGAAAACAGAGCUAUUGGGUUUGAAGCACUCCUGAACCCUCUCAUGGAACCCUAUGUCUUCCUGGAGUCUACAGAGCUAUUGGGUUUGAAGCACUCCUGAACCGUCUAGUAGAACCCUAUGUCUUCCUGGAGUCUACAGAGCUAUUGGGUUUGAAGCACUCCUGAACCGUCUAGUAGAACCCUAUGUCUUCCUGGAGUUUACAGAAAAAGAGACUCAGGGAUUUUCCCAAAGCACACUGCAAGUUAGGGGCAGGAAUGACAGCCCAGACCUUCUGGUUUCCAGUCCAGGGCUCAACUGCCUAAACAGUGGCAUCUCUUCAGGCAGGCCCUGUCAGAGGCAGAUUAGGGGACUUGUCCAAAGUUACUCAACUAUGAAGAGUCAAGAUUCAAAUCCAGAGACAUCUGACUUCAUUUCCCUUCAUUAACAACCAUCUAAGGAAGUUCCUAUUACUUUGGGAACUCCUAGUAGCAGGUGGUUAAAAAAAACUCCUGGACAACAUACUAUGCUAUUUGAAUCAUCCUACUUCUUACGCGUUCCUCCAGGAUGCACUCUUCUCCCAUUCUGAAACUGACAGUUCUCUUUACAAACUGUGUAUGUUUCAUUCCUGGAUUGCAUCUGAGCUGCCGCCAUGGAACGGGCAUUGAGUUUUAGCGUGUGUGAUGUCCCAUGUGUUCAUUUUGUCUCCCCACACUAUAAACUUGAGAGGCAAGGCCAACUCUUUUAUGUCUUCAAAUGCUUUGCUGCCAAACACAGGAUUGGAAAUGGCCAACAAAGACUAAAAUGCUACUUCUCUACCCUUUUCACUAUGCCAUCUACUGGAAAUUUAAGCAAGACUUGCAGAGAUCACUUCAGGUUAUCUGUUCCCCUGCAAGAAACACUUGUGGUUUGGCCUGAAAUAGUUUUCUGCUGAUUCUUUCUCUACAGCCCUGAACCCUAAAAACAAAUGAAAUGCAUCAACACAAUA
rnacentral:lncRNA from 1 species